UAGGUUUGUGGCAUCAGCUCGCUAAUUGGCGAAAACUUUGGAGGUGUCGUUGGUGAAUGAUUUAGGCUAUACGAAGAGAUACGUACGCUGCUUGCAGAUUUCUGAAGUGGUUAAUAGUAUGAAAGACUUGAUUGAUUAUAGUCGAGAAACAGGGACAGGACCUAUGGAGAGUUUGAACAAGUUCCCUCGAAGGACUAGUACGCCAUCUGGGGUUCACAGUCAAGCACAACAUUCUGAAGAACAGCUACAACAGCAACAACAGCAUCAUC